GACGUAGGUGGCGAACGUUAUCCGGAAUUAUUGGGCGUAAAGGGUGCGUAGGUGGUCUGAUAAGUUAUCAGUGGCAAAUCGAGGCUCAACCUCGUGGAAACUGGUAAUACUGUCAGGCUUGAGUGCAGGAGAGGUUAACGGAACUCUAUGUGGAGCGGUAAAAUGCACAGAUAUAUAGAAGAACAUCAAUAACGGCGAAGGCAGUUAACUAUUCUGUUACUGACACUGAGGCACGAAAGCGUGGGGAGCAAAACGG
rnacentral:rRNA from 1 species